GUGUUUAAGUGCUUCCAAAUGAGUCCAUCUUUUGAUGCUAUUAGCAAUAUUGUUCCUCCAAGAGAGGCUUGGAGGCUUAAAGUGAGGGUAAUUAGAGCUUAGAUUGUUCCAAGCUUUGAAAAUUCAGAUUCUCCAAAUUCAACGGAGCUCAUUUUAGUGGAUGAAAAUUUAAACAAAAUCCAAGCCACUAUAAGGAAGCAACUUAUCAACAGGUUUAAAGAUAAUAUUAUUGAAGGAAAUUGCUACAAGAUGUGUUAUUUCUUUGUUGUUCCAAAUCAUUGCUCUUAUAGAGCUACAAAACAUGAGUUUAAGCUUACAUUUCUCUUCUAAACAAUAGUAACAACUAUACCAGAUGAUAUCAUACCUAGAGUCUGUUUUACUCUAUAUCCUUUUAAGGAGAUAUUACAAAUGAGCCAAGAUCAUGAUUAUUUAGUUUAUGUUAUUGGGUUGCUGACUUUAGUUGGAGAGGAAAAAAGUUAUGAUAAAGAUGGAAAAACAAUCAAGAUGGUUGUUGUGGAGCUUUCUUCUCAAAAGAUGGUGCUUAGGUGCGCUCUGUUUGGAGAAUAUAUGUAUCAACUAAAUCAUUUUCUUUCUUC